UUACAAAUGAAGGUGUUGAUGCUGCAGGGCAUACAAUUGGUACAUCUUUGGAGGUCAUUUCCAACUUAGGAAGGUUCUCAACCCCGAGAGUAUCACACCUUUAGCUAAUGAUGCUGGUUUCUUUUGCUGUGAUCAUGUCAGACUUGAGGCCCUUAGAGGGAUUUGUCAUCGUCUCAGUUUUAUUCGAUACAACAUCUUGCCCUUAUACACCUUAACAAAAUGGGGUAGCCGGACGUAAAAAUAUGCAUCUUGUAGAAACCGUUUGGACCUUACUUCUCUAUGGUAAUGUUCCAUUCUGGUUCUGGGGGAUAUUAUGCUAAUAUGGCAUGUUACCUUAUAAACCUCAUGCUCUCGUCUGUCCUUAACAACAAUAUCUCUCACUUAAUUUUGUUGUUUCCUUAUUCCCCCUUCAGCCAAUU